rnacentral:rRNA from 1 species
GGGUGGUAAAUUCCAUCUAAGGCUAAAUACUGGCGAGAGACCGAUAGCGAACAAGUACUGUGAAGGAAAGAUGAAAAGCACUUUGAAAAGAGAUUGAAACAGCACGUGAAAUUGUUGAAAGGGAAGGGUAUUGGGCCCGACAUGGGAAUCGCGCACCGCUGCUCCUCGUGGGCGGCGCUCUGCGCUUUUCCUGGGCCAGCAUCGGUUUCCGCUGCAGGAGAAGGGGCUGUGGAAUGUGGCUGGCACGCUUGCGCGCCAGUGUUAUAGCCACGGGCCAGAUGCUGCGUGUGGGGACCGAGGGCUGCGACGGCAACGUCUCGGAUGCUGGCACAACGGCGCAAUACCGCCCGUCUUGAAACACGGAC